UUUCCGUAGGUGAACCUGCGGAAGGAUCAUUAUUGUAUAACCGAGGUGCGAGGGCUGUCGCUGACCCAAAGGGUCGUGCACGCCCGAGUGCCCUCACACACAUCCAUCUCACCCCUAUGUGCACCACCGCGUGGGUCCCCCUUUGGCUUGUUCGGAGGGGGGCUUACGUUUUCACACAAACUUUGUAUGCAGUGUAGAAUGUAUUUUUUGUUUUUGCGAUCACGCAAUCAAUACAACUUUCAACAACGGAUCUCUUGGCUCUC
rnacentral:misc_RNA from 1 species